rnacentral:rRNA from 1 species
GACGAACGCUGGCGGCGUGCUUAACACAUGCAAGUCGAACAGCGACGGACGGGUGAGUAAUGUCUGGGAAACUGCCUGAUGGAGGGGGAUAACUACUGGAAACGGUAGCUCAUACCGCAUACCCUCAGAUGUGCCCAGAGGGGAUUAGCUAGUAGGUGGGGUAACGGCUCACCUCGGCGACGAUCCCUAGCUGGUCUGAGAGGAUGACCAGCCACACUGGAACUGCGACACGGUCAAGACUCCUACGGGAGGCAGCAGUGGGGAAUAUUGCACAAUGGGCGCAAGCCUGAUGCAGCCAUGCCGCGUGUGUGAAGAAGGCCUUCGGGUUGUAAAGGACUUUGGUCAGGGAAGCGGUACCUGAAGAAUAAGCACCGGCUAACUACGUGCCAGCAGCCGCGGUAAUAC